GCCUAUGGCUCAGUGGGUAGGGCGCUGGCCCCAUAUGCCAGAGGUGGUGGGUUCAAAUCCAGCCCCAGGCC
rfam:Otolemur garnettii contig163068, whole genome shotgun sequence.